rnacentral:rRNA from 1 species
AUUGAACGCUGGCGGCAGGCCUAACGCAUGCAAGUCGGGCGGAUGAAGGGAGCUUGCUCCUGGAUUCAGCGGCGGACGGGUGAGUAAUGCCUAGGAAUCUGCCUGGUAGUGGGGGAUAACGUCCGGAAACGGGCGCUAAUACCGCAUACGUCCUGAGGGAGAAAGUGGGGGAUCUUCGGACCUCACGCUAUCAGAUGAGCCUAGGUCGGAUUAGCUAGUUGGUGGGGUAAAGGCCUACCAAGGCGACGAUCCGUAACUGGUCUGAGAGGAUGAUCAGUCACACUGGAACUGAGACACGGUCCAGACUCCUACGGGAGGCAGCAGUGGGGAAUAUUGGACCAUGGGCGAAAGCCUGAUCCAGCCAUGCCGCGUGUGUGAAGAAGGUCUUCGGAUUGUAAAGCACUUUAAGUUGGGAGGAAGGGCAGUAAGUUAAUACCUUGCUGUUUUGACGUUACCAACAGAAUAAGCACCGGCUAACUUCGUG